GGUCUUGUGGCCUAAAGGUAAGGCGUUGCUUUCCGGAGGCAAAGAUUGCGGGUUCGAGUCCCGUCUAGAUCU